GACGAACGCUGGCGGCGUGCUUAACACAUGCAAGUCGAACGGGAUUUAGUAAACAGAAGCUUCGGUGGAAGAUUACUAAUGAGAGUGGCGAACGGGUGAGUAACGCGUGAGCAACCUGCCUAUGACAGUGGGAUAGCCUCGGGAAACCGGGAUCAAUACCGCAUAAAAUCGUAGAAACACAUGUUUUAACGGUCAAAGAUUUAUCGGUCAUAGAUGGGCUCGCGUCUGAUUAGCUAGUUGGUGAGAUAACAGCCCACCAAGGCGACGAUCAGUAGCCGGUCUGAGAGGAUGAACGGCCACAUUGGAACUGAGACACGGUCCAAACUCCUACGGGAGGCAGCAGUGGGGAAUAUUGCACAAUGGGGGAAACCCUGAUGCAGCGACGCCGCGUGAACGAAGAAGGUAUUCGUAUCGUAAAGUUCUGUCCUAUGGGAAGAUAAUGACAGUACCAUAGAAGAAAGCUCCGGCUAAAUACGUGCCAGCAGCCGCGGUAAUACGUAUGGAGCGAGCGUUGUCCGGAAUUACUGGGCGUAAAGAGCUCGUAGGCGGUUUGUCACGUCGUCUGUGAAAUCCUAGGGCUUAACCCUGGACGUGCAGGCGAUACGGGCUGACUUGAGUACUACAGGGGAGACUGGAAUUUCUGGUGUAGCGGUGGAAUGCACAGAUAUCAGGAAGAACACCGAUGGCGAAGGCAGGUCUCUGGGUAGUAACUGACGCUGAGGAGCGAAAGCAUGGGUAGCGAACAGGAUUAGAUACCCUGGUAGUCCAUGCCGUAAACGGUGGGCGCUAGGUGUGGGGUUCCUUCCACGGGCUCCGUGCCGUAGCUAACGCAUUAAGCGCCCCGCCUGGGGAGUACGGCCGCAAGGCUAAAACUCAAAGAAAUUGACGGGGGCCCGCACAAGCGGCGGAGCAUGUGGAUUAAUUCGAUGCAACGCGAAGAACCUUACCUGGGCUUGACAUAUAGAGGAUCGCUGCAGAGAUGUGGUUUCCCUUGUGGCUUCUAUACAGGUGGUGCAUGGUUGUCGUCAGCUCGUGUCGUGAGAUGUUGGGUUAAGUCCCGCAACGAGCGCAACCCUUGUCUUAUGUUGCCAGCACGUUAUGGUGGGGACUCGUGAGAGACUGCCGGGGUCAACUCGGAGGAAGGUGGGGAUGACGUCAAAUCAUCAUGCCCCUUAUGUCCAGGGCUUCACACAUGCUACAAUGGCCGGUACAGAGGGCUGCGAUGCUGUAAAGCGGAGCGAAUCUCUUAAAGCCGGUCUCAGUUCGGAUUGGGGUCUGCAACUCGACCCCAUGAAGUCGGAGUCGCUAGUAAUCGCAGAUCAGCAACGCUGCGGUGAAUACGUUCCCGGGCCU
rnacentral:rRNA from 1 species